GACGAACGCUGGCGGCGUGCUUAACACAUGCAAGUCGAGCGGUAAGGCCCUUUCGGGGGUACACGAGCGGCGAACGGGUGAGUAACACGUGGGUGACCUGCCCUCAGCUCUGGGAUAAGCCUGGGAAACCGGGUCUAAUACCGGAUAUGACUCCAUGACGCAUGUUGUGGGGUGGAAAGCCUUGUGCGGCUGAGGAUGGGCCCGCGGCCUAUCAGCUUGUUGGUGGGGGAUGGCCUACCAAGGCGACGACGGGUAGCCGGCCUGAGAGGGCGACCGGCCACACUGGGACUGAGACACGGCCCAGACUCCUACGGGAGGCAGCAGUGGGGAAUCUUGCGCAAUGGGCGAAAGCCUGACGCAGCGACGCCGCGUGAGGGAUGACGGCCUGGUGUAAC
rnacentral:rRNA from 1 species